GGAGAUAUAGCUUAGUGGUAGAGUCUGUGCCUCCCAUGUACUAGGCCCUGGGUUCAAUCCUCAGCACCACCA
rfam:Heterocephalus glaber contig92296, whole genome shotgun sequence.